rnacentral:rRNA from 1 species
CCUACGGGUGGCAGCAGUGGGGAAUAUUGGGCAAUGGGCGCAAGCCUGACCCAGCAACGCCGCGUGAAGGAAGAAGGCUUUCGGGUUGUAAACUUCUUUUCUCAGGGACGAAGCAAGUGACGGUACCUGAGGAAUAAGCCACUGCUAACUACGUGCCAGCAGCCGCGGUAAUACGUAGGUGGCACGCGUUAUCCGGAUUUACUGGGGGUAACGGGCGUGUAGGCGGGACUGCAAGUCAGAUGUGAAAACCACGGGCUCAACCGGGUGCCUGCAUUUGAAACUGUAGUUCUUGAGUACUGGAGAGGCAGACGGAAUUCCUAGGGUAGCGGGGAAAUGCGUAGAUAUUAGGAGGAACACCAGUGGCGAAGGCGGUCUGCUGGACAGCAACUGACGCUGAGGCGCGAAAGCGUGGGGAGCAAACAGGAUUAGAUACCCUGGUAGUC